CAAAAGCGAUGUGUUUGAACACCAGGGUUUCAAAGUAUCUUUGAUUUGGAAGUAUUUACUAUAUUCAUAGUUCAGUUAUGAACUCCUUAACAAGUACAGAAAGUAUUAAUAUUGAUUGUUUGUUUGUUAGUAUAUAUUUGUCAAUAUUGAGUGAAUUGAUUAUUGAAACCUAUAGUUAUUCAUUGGAAAAAAUCACGAUUGCUCAUUCGUUUCACUGGAGAGAAAUCACUAGCCAUUGUAGUUCACAACAUACAAUUAGAUGCGAAAGUUAUCAUUGAUUCAUAUUUUUCGGAUAAACCGACGACCUAUCAUGGAUCUCUUCAAUAUUGGGAACAGCUCUAAAUAUCCCAAAGGGCAAAAUCUGGUAAAUACGGCGGCUGAGGCAUGAUUGUUGUUUUUGGCCAAAAAUUUACUAACAAGUAAUUCUCAACAUUGAUUAAGACGCGAAGAUUUAUUAUUGAUUCAUAUUUUUCGGAUAAUAAAGUGCCUAAAAAGCAAUAUCAAAUCAAAUUGAAUCAUGACGCCAUCCUCUUUUCCAGCGAAAAUUGGGAAUAUCUCAGUGCUUUUCAUAAAAAUAUUGAAAAUUUCAAUCGAAAGAAAGUAGAUGAUUUUCAACAUGAAUUCACCAGAACCUAUAGUGUAGGUGGUUGGGACAGAUGAAUGAUUUGUUAUUUCAUUUCAAUAAAAAACGGUUUUCAAGUUC